UGGGGAAUAUUGCACAAUGGGCGCAAGCCUGAUGCAGCCAUGCCGCGUGUGUGAAGAAGGCCUUCGGGUUGUAAAGCACUUUCAGCGAGGAGGAAGGUGGUGGACUUAAUACGUUCAUCAAUUGACGUUACUCGCAGAAGAAGCACCGGCUAACUCCGUGCCAGCAGCCGCGGUAAUACGGAGGGUGCAAGCGUUAAUCGGAAUUACUGGGCGUAAAGCGCACGCAGGCGGUUUGUUAAGUCAGAUGUGAAAUCCCCGGGCUCAACCUGGGAACUGCAUUUGAAACUGGCAAGCUAGAGUCUCGUAGAGGGGGGUAGAAUUCCAGGUGUAGCGGUGAAAUGCGUAGAGAUCUGGAGGAAUACCGGUGGCGAAGGCGGCCCCCUGGACGAAGACUGACGCUCAGGUGCGAAAGCGUGGGGAGCAAACAGGAUUAGAUACCCCUGGUAGUCCACGCUGUAAACGAUGUCGAUUUUGGAGGUUGUGCCCUUGAGGCGUGGCUUCCGGAGCUAACGCGUUAAAUCGACCGCCUGGGGAGUACGGCCGC
rnacentral:rRNA from 1 species